GCCUUCGUAUAGUAAUGGUCAGCACGCUCGACGCGUAACCGAGAGGUCCGUGGUUCGAUCCCCGGCGAAGGCG
rnacentral:tRNA from 1 species